GCAAAAGAUUAGCAUGGCUCUACGCAAGGAUGACAUGCAAAUUCAUGAAGCAUUUCAUAUUUUU
rnacentral:snRNA from 1 species